CCUACGUGAGGCAGCAGUGAGGAAUAUUGGUCAAUGGGCUUACGCCUGAACCAGCCAAGUCGCGUGAGGGAAGACUGCCCUAUGGGUUGUAAACCUCUUUUGUCAGGGAGCAACGCCGGCUACGUGUAGCCGGACUGAGAGUACCUGAAGAAAAAGCAUCGGCUAACUCCGUGCCAGCAGCCGCGGUAAUACGGAGGAUGCGAGCGUUAUCCGGAUUUAUUGGGUUUAAAGGGUGAUUAGGCGGAAUGCCAAGUCAGCGGUAAAAUCGCGGGGCUCAACCUCGCUCCGCCGUUGAAACUGGCGUUCUUGAGUGGGCGAGAAGUAUGCGGAAGGCGGGGUGUAGCGGUGAAAUGCAUAGAUAUCACGCAGAACUCCGAUUGCGAAGGCAGCAUACCGGCGCCCAACUGACGCUGAAGCACGAAAGCGUGGGUAUCGAACAGGAUUAGAUACCCCUGUAGUC
rnacentral:rRNA from 1 species